GGUUAAGCGACUAAGCGUACACGGUGGAUGCCCUGGCAGUCAGAGGCGAUGAAGGACGUGCUAAUCUGCGAUAAGCGCCGGUAAGGUGAUAUGAACCGUUAUAACCGGCGAUUUCCGAAUGGGGAAACCCAGUGUGACUCGUCACACUAUCAUUAACUGAAUCCAUAGGUUAAUGAGGCGAACCGGGGGAACUGAAACAUCUAAGUACCCCGAGGAAAAGAAAUCAACCGAGAUUCCCCCAGUAGCGGCGAGCGAACGGGGAGGAGCCCAGAGCCUGAAUCAGCAUGUGUGUUAGUGGAAGCGUCUGGAAAGGCGCGCGAUACAGGGUGACAGCCCCGUACACAAAAGCGCAUGUGCUGUGAG
rnacentral:rRNA from 2 species